CGUUGAAAGACCGGUUCUCGUACAUUCACCGAAAUUAAGCAACGUCGAGCCUGGUCACUACUUGGAUGGGCGACCGCUUGGGAAUACCAGGUUUUGUAAG